rnacentral:rRNA from 1 species
UACGUAGGGUGCAAGCGUUUGUCCGGAAUUAUUGGGCGUAAAGAGCUCGUAGGCGGUCUGUUGCGUCCGCUGUGAAAACUCGGGGCUUAACCCCGAGCCUGCAGUGGAUACGGGCAGACUAGAGGUAGGUAGGGGAGAAUGGAAUUCCCGGUGUAGCGGUGAAAUGCGCAGAUAUCGGGAGGAACACCGGUGGCGAAGGCGGUUCUCUGGGCCUUACCUGACGCUGAGGAGCGAAAGCGUGGGGAGCAAACAGG